GACGAACGCUGGCGGCGCGCCUAACACAUGCAAGUCGAACGGAGUCAAGAGGAGCUUGCUUUUCUUGACUUAGUGGCGAACGGGUGAGUAACGCGUGAGUAACCUGCCCUGGAGUGGGGGACAACAGUUGGAAACGACUGCUAAUACCGCAUAAGCCCACGGCCCGGCAUCGGGCUGCGGGAAAAGGAUUUAUUCGCUUCAGGAUGGACUCGCGUCCAAUUAGCUAGUUGGUGAGGUAACGGCCCACCAAGGCGACGAUUGGUAGCCGGACUGAGAGGUUGAACGGCCACAUUGGGACUGAGACACGGCCCAGACUCCUACGGGAGGCAGCAGUGGGGGAUAUUGCACAAUGGGGGAAACCCUGAUGCAGCGACGCCGCGUGGAGGAAGAAGGUUUUCGGAUUGUAAACUCCUGUCGUUAGGGACGAUAAUGACGGUACCUAACAAGAAAGCACCGGCUAACUACGUGCCAGCAGCCGCGGUAAAACGUAGGGUGCAAGCGUUGUCCGGAAUUACUGGGUGUAAAGGGAGCGCAGGCGGACCGGCAAGUUGGAAGUGAAAACUAUGGGCUCAACCCAUAAAUUGCUUUCAAAACUGCUGGCCUUGAGUAGUGCAGAGGUAGGUGGAAUUCCCGGUGUAGCGGUGGAAUGCGUAGAUAUCGGGAGGAACACCAGUGGCGAAGGCGACCUACUGGGCACCAACUGACGCUGAGGCUCGAAAGCAUGGGUAGCAAACAGGAUUAGAUACCCUGGUAGUCCAUNC
rnacentral:rRNA from 1 species